rnacentral:lncRNA from 1 species
CUUAUAAAUAAUUUGAACCAAGUUGUAGUAUAUGUCACUAGGUUUCCGUACAUAUAAAGAACGCCGACAUCCGAGUCAUAACGAAGAAGUUAUGACCCGUCGAAGUUUCGCGACGGAACCGGCUCGAUACCGGGAGGCGUAAAUAGUGAAUUUACGAUAGAGCGAGAUUUAGCCUUGGCGCUCUAAACGAAAGUCGUAGAAUAUGUUAAACUAAGAACUUCGAUAAAAAGAAUGCCCAAAUCUGACUUCGUAUGAAGAAGUUAUCAUUUUUCGAAGUUUCAGAUUAGCAGUGUACAGCCCGAAAUUCGAAUAUUAGAUCAAGCGAUUUUUAGCCGACACGACCUGAACAAGAAUUGAAGAUCUCGUUAAGAGUAGCACAACGAGAUAAAAGAUGGGCGAAAACGGACGUCGGAUGAAGAAGUUAUGAGGAAUUAACGGACCAAUCCUGUCCCGGUCUGCUAAAAAUAUAACUUAAAAAAUAAAGUCAAAAUUAGCCGCCAGAGUCUAAACGAAAGUUGUAGAGUACGUCUCCACCUACGCAUGGAUAUAAAGAACGUCAAAAAUGGAAUUCGUAUGAAGGAGUUACAAAUUAUAAUAGCAUAUUUACGUAUUAAAAUAAAGUAUAAAUCAUAUAUACGUACACAUAUAUAUACAUAUGUAUAUAUCAUUAGAAAGGUAUCGACGAUGCGGUCAUUAUAAGACUAAUGUUGAGUUCUUUCGACAUUAGUUUAGUGCAAAUAUCGUUAAAUCCAUUUAUAAUAGUAUUAUAGAGGGGUGUUUAGUUGUUUAUAUAACUAAAAGGUCAUUAAGUAAUUAUGGAGGGUAGUUUUUGAAAAUUCAAUUAGUAUAAAUAAGAGCCUUGGGCUCUCAUAUUUCUUGCACCAUUCUCUUGAUUCAAGAGUCUUUCUCUCCUUAUCCCCCGAGCAUUUCGGUCCCUCGUGAUUCGACUUCUCUUUCUGUAGCUUAGUAUAGUAAGGUGAGCGCUGAAGCGCUGCACGAAUCUUUCUUAGAAAGAUUCAGCGACGAAGUUCUGCCCCUGCAGAGCCCGACUCCUAGCUAAAACCCCCUUGUAAGUAAGUUAUGCUUACCUUAUUUUAAUAUAGCUUAUAUUUAAAAUUAGUAUUGUUAUUAUGAACUUAUAAUAAAUAUUUGAGCUAUUAUUAUAACUUAUAUAAGUGUCGUUAUAAUAUUUUUUUUNNNNNNNNNNNNNNNNNNNNNNNNNNNNNNNNNNNNNNNNNNNNNNNNNNNNNNNNNNNNNNNNNNNNNNNNNNNNNNNNNNNNNNNNNNNNNNNNNNNNNNNNNNNNNNNNNNNNNNNNNNNNNNNNNNNNNNNNNNNNNNNNNNNNNNNNNNNNNNNNNNNNNNNNNNNNNNNNNNNNNNNNNNNNNNNNNNNNNNNNNNNNNNNNNNNNNNNNNNNNNNNNNNNNNNNNNNNNNNNNNNNNNNNNNNNAUAAUAAUAAUAAUAAGACUAAUAAUUAGUCACGGUAAAUAUUAGACUAAAAUCUAGUGGUAAUAAUACUAGGUUUCGUCGAAGGAAAUUAUUUUAAAGUAAACGAAGCGCUGUCCGAGUACCGAGUCACCACCUUCUCAGGUGAGUGCAUAGUCCCUUUCAUCUUACACAUAGAUAUGAAGUAUUUUAAUAUAAAUUACGUGCUGUGUGUGCAUAUUGUCUGAAUACUUGCUGUCUAUGCUGGGUGAAAGAUUUUUAUACAUGUUUUAAAUGAUUUAAACUGUAUAUGUAUUUUAUAUCUACAAAAUGUGUUGGGUAAAACAUGGGUAGAUGAAAUAGUUGUUUUGUGAUAACACGAUGGGAGACAUCAAUGUUGUCAGUGAUCCAGUCAUCUAGUGGAGUAUAGAUGAUGACCAUGGGCGAUACUAGACGGUCCGGUGGAACGCUAGUAAGCUCGUAACCUGUAGGUGUUUUUGAACUAGGUGCUCAUUAGGUAUUUUGAACUGAGUGUGUUCACUACGUAUCUUUGAACUGAGUGUGUUCACUAGGUAUUUUGAACUAAGUGUGUUCACUAGUUACUUUUGAACUAAGUGUUUACCAGAUGUUUUGGACUACGUGUUCACCAGUUGUAAUCUAUAAGCUUUGGUAACGAUGGACUUCGUGCCGAUUCCUUAGGAUAAUCCUUAGGAAUGAAUGAACGAGAAAUAGCUGAUUCUUAGGGUAGAUCCUUAAGAGUAAAGAAGUUAAUCGGGAUGGGUAAUUGGGUUUAAUUGCUUGAUUGUUUAAACAUAAUAAUUAUAUUAUUGUGGGUUGAAAACCCUAAGUACUCACCAGGUUUCCCAACCUGACCCACUCAGUUUAUUUAUAUCACAGGUGUUGAUAUGAAGUCACAUUACACUGAGAGAUUAAAGAGAUGUAGAUCACUAGUGUAAAUAAAUGUAAGUUCUGUUUAUGCUUAUGUUUCUGUAUUGACAAUGACAUCCCAAAUGUUUUAAAAUGAAUAAAAUACGUUUCUUCGAAAAUGUUUUAAUAACGUAUUUAUCGUGUUUUUCUGGGAACAAAUUCCGCAACAUUUUUAUGAAAAGAAGUACUCUGACUUUUAUAAAGCAUAAACAAAAUCGGUCUUUUCUGGCCGUGAUUUUGGGGAUGUCACAGUUGGUAUCAGAGCAUUAGUUUAAGCGAACUAGGAAUUUGUAGGAAAUUUCUAGACUUAAACUUAGAAUGCUAAGCAAUGAUUGUGAGGAGUGAGCACUAGCUUAUUUUAGGAAUUGUGCCUAAAAUGCUUUUAUGUGCUAAAUGCUUUGUGCAUAAUAUGUUGUUAAUUGUUCGGAUCUAUGGUCUGUUGCCGACCGGAUCUGGAAACCUUAUGUGUUUAGGAUUCUAAACGUACGACUACGAUAUUAGAACUAGCAUGUAAACGUUUCGGAGUGAUAAGGAUGAUUUAAACGUCAAUCCUAAAUAAAGAUCUAAAUUCACCUUAUUCGGUGUAUAGAUCAAGAUGGCAACGACCCGUAGCGGAAACGUGAAUGCAAAUGAGAAUAGGAACCAAACCCAAGUGGUUCAGCAAAUACCUAUUUUAAAAGAAGUUGCACUUGAGCUAGUCACCAUGGCUGGAGUUCAAGCCAUGAUUCGGGCUAUGUUAGGUGAACAAAGGGAGGAAAUUAGGCAGAUAUUGAAUAGGGACGAACCUACUAUGCCCAUUGAGCAACCCGAACUGAUUCCCGAGCAAUCUGAGGAAGGGAACUACAGCCGCCAAGUGAGUCAAGUUGGGACUCAAGGUGAGCAAAGGGAUGGCCCAGAAGGGAGAAACAACAAGGAUGGGCGGAUGUACAAGAAUUUCUUGGGUGCGAAACCCCCAAGUCUCUCAGGAAGCCCGAAGCCGGUUGAGAUUAUGGAUUGGAUCUCUGAGAUGGAGAUGGUGUUUGAGAGUUGCAGCUGUAACGAGAAACAGAAGACUGUCUUCGCUGUAAGACAACUGAAAACUGGAGUCUUGAGCUGGUGGAAGCUAUUGGCAGAUACGAUGCCACGAGGAGAAGCCCUAAGGAUGUCAUGGGAAGAGUUUUUGGAACAGUUGAAAAUGCAGUACUGCUCAGAGAUAGAUCUGAUAGACCUGAACAACGAGUUUCAGAACCUGAAGAAAGGGAAGAUGAGUGUUGAUGAGUACGCCACCGCAUUCACCGAGAGGAUGAAGCUAUUUCCCUACUUGGUUCCUACUGAACUCUCCAAGAUUGAUAGGUUUGCUAACGGAUUACCCACUGACUUUGGCCCAAUGGUCAAAAUGGCAACUACCUUGAAAACAGCUGUUAGGGCAGCUAAGAACGUAGAGGCCCAGAUAAGAGAAAAGGGUCUAGAAAAAGAUAAGGCAGGAGAGAAGCGGAAGUUUGAAGGAUCUUCAAGGUCCAACAAGGAGAGCAAAUUCUCAAAGCCUGGAGGAGGAGGUGAAGCAAGAUGGUGUGAUAAAUGCAAGAAGAAACACCUUGGAAAAUGCGGUGAAGAGGUGACAUGUUUCAAGUGUGGAAAGUCUGGGCAUUACGCCAAUGAGUGUACAUCCAACAAGAGGUUGUGUUAUGAAUGUAAAGAAGGGGGCAUCUUUCAAAGAAUUGCCCAAAGAAGAAUGAAGCAGCAAGGCCAAACACGCCACCAAGGCCAGGGGCAUUUCACAUGAUCCUCGACGAAGCGGAAAACCAUGCGAAGAAUGAAGGAUGAGGACUUCGUAUCCGAAGAUCAAGUUAUGCAGUAGCCAUAGUAUCGUAUGAUGUAGCCUAUGGCAUAGUCUAGGGUGAACUUGAACACCUUUGUAAUAGUUUCAAGAAAUGGUAAAAACCUUUGUUUUGUUAUCUGAUGUGUUAAACUGUUAUGUGAUUUUCUUGUAUGGUGACUUGGAAAACUGCGAGACAAUACUUGGGACGAGUAUGAGUAGGUGUGAAAGGUUGUAGAUGCAUAUACUACCGGAAGCACAGGACUCACGCUUGGAUCAGGGAAAGUCACAAAGUUACCAAGAAGCUAGUAACUGAUUUCGUUUUAUUCAAGUAUGUCAUUACGAUCAUUUCGGUAAUGACUAAAAAGACUGUUGAUAUUCCGACCCUAGUGGUCAUAUCAAAUCGAGUCCGACUAAUAUGAGUAUGUUACGUGGUUCAGAGAACCAAGUUCGAUGUAGCACCGACUCAAGCCGAAAGAAUUAAUCAAAGCAACCAGUAGAGGUAUCACGAAAUGUUGCUUGUAGCUAGAAAUGCUACAUUUUUUUAAAAAAAAUGUGAUUAUAUCACAUUAGAACAUGAAGGAAGGUAUAGCCUAUUUUGGAAUUUAACUCUAAGAGACCUAAGUCUAAACGAGCAUCACAUGACGAUAGGUCAUGAUUUUGAGUCUAACCUAAGAUAGAAAGCAGGUGCACAAUCAAGUACUACUUAUAGUCAAUAAGUCUAAGAGAUAGACUUGAAGGAAUAUAGAAGUUAUAAUUAUUACCUAGGAUGAAGAGAUAACGCAUAGAGUCAUUAUAAAAACCUUGUUUCGUUGAUGAUUCUGGGACGUAAUCAUCCUAAGGGGGAGAUAAUUGUAACAUCCGCGGAUCCGGGCUAGUCAAAUUAGAGGCAAUAAGUGUCGAAAACGACUUUUCGACAGAAUCUUAUAAAUAAUUUGAACCAAGUUGUAGUAUAUGUCACUAGGUUUCCGUACAUAUAAAGAACGCCGAAAUCCGAGUUAUAACGAAGAAGUUAUGACCCGUCGAAGUUUCGCGACGGAACCGGCUCGAUACCGGGAGGCGUAAAUAGUGAAUUUACGAUAGAGCGAGAUUUAGCCUUGGCGCUCUAAACGAAAGUCGUAGAAUAUGUUAAACUAAGAACUUCGAUAAAAAGAACGCCCAAAUCUGACUUCGUAUGAAGAAGUUAUGAUUUUUCGAAGUUUCGGAUUAACAGUGU